rnacentral:snoRNA from 1 species
GCCCGGCCCUAUCGAAGCUGCGUCUGUCCGUGCUGUGGCAGAUGCAGUCAAAAAGGAGCCGAAAGUGAAGAGAUUUUCCUCGACGGUCGCCGGUCAGCUGGAGCCUUUGUAACUGUCCGGCAACAUUUCGGGAAAAUACACUG